GAUGAACGCUAGCUACAGGCUUAACACAUGCAAGUCGAGGGUCCGGCGCACGGGUGAGUAACACGUAUCCAACCUGCCCUUUACUCGGGGAUAGCCUUUCGAAAGAAAGAUUAAUACCCGAUAUCAAGGAUGGGGAUGCGUUCCAUUAGGUUGUUGGUGAGGUAACGGCUCACCAAGCCUUCGAUGGAUAGGGGUUCUGAGAGGAAGGCCCCCCACAUUGGAACAGAGACACGGUCCAGACUCGUACGGGACGAAGCAGUGAGGAAGAUUGGUCAAUAGGCGCUAGCCUGAACCAGCCAAGUAGCGUGAAGGAUGAAGGCUUAUGGGUCGUAAACUUCUUGGAUAUAAGAAUAUGUAUUAUAUGAAUAAGGAACGGCUAACUCCGUGCCAGCAGCCGCGGUAAUUC
rnacentral:rRNA from 1 species